rnacentral:rRNA from 1 species
GAUGAACGCUGGCGGCGUGCCUAAUACAUGCAAGUCGAGCGGACGGACGCGAAGCUUGUUUGUUUGACGUGUGGGGCGCACGGGUGUAACACACGUGGAAACUGUACCUAACAGACUGAGAUAACCUCGGGAAACCGUAGAUAACCCCGGAGAAUAUCCUGAACCGCAUGGUUGGAAAGUGAAUGACGGCCUUGCUGUAACUUCUAGAUGGAUCUGAGCUGCAUUAGCUAGUUGGUAAGGUACCGGCUUACCAAGGCGACGAUGCCUAACCGACCGGCGAGGGUGGUCGGCCACAGUGGAGCUGAGACGGGGUCCUGACUCCUGCAGUAGGCAGCAGUAGGGAAUCUUCCGCAGUGGGCGGAAACCUGACAGAGCGGCGCGGCGUGAGUGAUAACGAUCUUCGGAGCGUAAAACUCUGUUAUUGGGGGAAAACAUAUGUGUAAGGAACUGUACGCAGCUUGACGGUACCGGGUCAGAAAGCCACGGCUAACUACGUG